UACGGAAGGUGCAAGCGUUAAUCGGAAUUACUGGGCGUAAAGCGCGUGUAGGCGGCCCUGCAAGUCGGAUGUGAAAUCCCACGGCUCAACCGUGGAAGUGCAUUCGAAACUGCAGGGCUAGAGUCCUGGAGAGGAAGGUGGAAUGCUUGGUGUAGAGGUGAAAUUCGUAGAUAUCAAGCGGAACACCGGUGGCGAAGGCGGCCUUCUGGACAGUGACUGACGCUGAGACGCGAAAGCGUGGGGAGCAAACAGG
rnacentral:rRNA from 1 species